CCCCGGGGCCCCACGCUCCAGCCCACCCGACCCUGACUCCUGCUCUGCUUGAGACCACCCCCCUCUGCCCCAGGGCCCUUGCUCACGACCUGGGAGCAGCCCCCCUUCCUGUCCAAGCACACCUGGGCUGGGAAGGGAGACGGUCCUGGCCUCGGGCACUUCCCAGCAGUCCGACCAUGGCAGGUUACAGCCCUCGGCAGCCCUCCGGGAGCCUAAGUGUCCUCAUCAGGGUAACAAGGACAGUGCCGUCCCCCUCUGUCGGGUGGUGGAAGUGCGGGAGGGCCCUGGCCGAGUGUGGGGCGGGUGGCUGGCGUCCCCCC